UCGGUGUGUGGCCUAGUUGUUCAGUGUCGAUGUGCCUCUACAAUAUCAAACGUGGGGAAGUCACACAGGCUUGAGAAACCUAGUGUUUUUCAGUCAUAUUGGAUUUGGCAUUGCUGACUUCCUCUCUUGAAUGUACCUGGAAAACUUCGAGGGGAUUCCCAUUCACCUAAAGAUGCUUAUACAGAAAAGGUCGUACAACUAGAAAAUGUAUGGUGCACGCCUGUAAAAUCAGCACACCGGAGGAUGUGGCAGGAGGAUUGCGAGUUUGAGGAAAGCGUGGGCAACACACCAAGUUCAAGGCCAGCCUGGCCUACACUGUGAGACCUUAUCUCAAAAAGCUAAAAAAAGAGUCUACUUUGUUUACUACACAGACGGCCUGAAACCGCUGAGGACAGGGGACUUUUUUUGGGGGUCAGCUUGUGUAGCAUCAAGGAUGUUGGACGAUGGACAGAGCACAAACACGACUCCCUCGUCAUAGAACAAACUGGACAGCCGAGGUAUAAGCGUUCCAGGCUUGCUAACCAACGCGAUACCAGCGAAUCAAACGGAAUCCUCAGCCACUUCCGCUUCUGGCCCCUCCCUUCGGGCUUUAGCCUUCUGUUUCGCGUUCAAGAAUUUUGUCCCCAACACCGAGUCGUCUUUUCGCCUUCGCUGCUGCUAUGGCGGCAGCUCCGCUGCUCUCCAAGGCCGAGUACCUGAAGCGUUACCUGUCCGGGACUGAUGCUGGCAUCGACGGGGGAUCCGCGUCCGGUCGCAAGCGACGCAAAAAGCGGCCGAAACUAGGAGGGGCCGGCAGCAAGGGAAUGCGGAUUGUUGAUGAUGACGUGAGCUGGACAGCUAUCUCUACCACUAAACCAGAGAAGGAAGAGGAAGAUGAUGGAGAUUUGCCUGUGGUGGCUGAGUUUGUGGAUGAGCGGCCAGAAGAGGUAAAGCAGAUGGAGGCUUUUCGUUGUAGUACCAAAUGGAAGCUUCUGGGAGACCACAGUGAAGACCUAUCCUCACAUAGUCAUUUCCAUCAUGAAACUCCGUAUUCAUCUCCCAGGAGGGCCCGUCAUGAAACUCCGGAUCCAUCUCCUCCCAGGAGGGCCCGUCAUGAUACCCCGGAUCCAUCCCCUCCCAGGAGGGCCCGUCAUGAUACUCCGGAUUCAUCUCCUCCUAGGAGGGCCCGUCAUGAUACCCCAGAUCCAUCUCCUCCUAGGAGGGCCCGUCAUGAUACCCCGGAUCCAUCCCCUCCCAGGAGGGCCCGUCAUGAUACUCCGGAUUCAUCUCCUCCUAGGAGGGCCCGUCAUGAAACUCUGGAUCCAUCUCCUCCUAGAAGGGCCUGUCAAGACUCAGACACAUCUUUUCCCAGGAGGGUCCACCAUGACUCCUCAGAUGCGUCCCCCAUUAGGAAGCCUCAUCAUAAUUCUUCAGAUGUAUCUCCUAGAAGAGUCCCUCAUGAUUCCUCAGGUAUCUCUUACCCCAGAAGGGCCCAUAACAAUUCCUUUGACACAUCCCAACCUAGGAGGACUCUUGACUCUUCAGACAUAUGGCAUCCCAGAAAGGGCCAUCAUCAUGAGCCCUCCCAUUUGGCCCCUGAUGCUGCUCAUUCACUGCCCAGAACCAAAAGAAAUAAAACCCCAGAAAGAGCCUCUAGCAAGUCUUCUUCACAUUGGAAGGGGUCAGGAUCUACACAUCCUUCACUCUUGAAGAACAUCAAAAGUGAAUAUGGUUCAGACCUCUCUCCACGAAAAAAGCAAGGAAAAUCUCAUUUUGGAGAUCAGAGGCAGCUUGAUUCUAAAGGUGACUACCGGAAAGCUUCUGAUUCAGAUCUUUCACCUCCACGGCAUAAACGGAGUCCUGGGCACCAGGAUUCUGAUUCAGAUCUGUCACCUCCAAGGAAUAGACCAAGACACCGGAGCUCUGAUUCUGACCUCUCGCCACCAAGGAGAAAACAGAGGGCCAAAUCUUCGGAUUCUGAUCUGUCUCCACCUCGAAGGAGUCAGCCUCCUGGAAAGAAGGCUGCGCACAUGUAUUCUGGGGCUAAAACUGGGUUGGUGUUAACUGACAUACAGCAAGAACAGCAGGAUCUCAAAAAACAGGACCAAGACAACAUGGCAUUUGAAGCUGAAUUCCAGUUUGCUGAAACUGUGUUUCGUGACAAGACUGGUCGUAAGAGGAAUUUGAAACUGGAACGUCUUGAACAAAGGAGAAAAGCACAGAAGGACUCAGAACGAGAAGAGCUGUAUGCCCAGUGGGGCAAAGGCCUUGCCCAGAGCCGGCAACAGCAACAAAAUGUGGAGGAUGCAAUGAAGGAGAUGCAAAAGCCUCUAGCCCGCUAUAUUGAUGAUGAAGAUUUGGAUCGGAUGCUGAGAGAACAAGAAAGGGAGGGAGACCCCAUGGCCAACUUCAUCAAGAAAAAUAAGGCCAAGGAGAGCAAGAAUAAGAAAGUGAGACCUCGAUACAAUGGACGAGCACCACCGCCAAACAGAUUCAAUAUCUGGCCUGGAUAUCGUUGGGAUGGAGUGGAUAGAUCCAAUGGAUUUGAACAGAAGCGCUUUGCCAGACUUGCCAGCAAGAAGGCAGUGGAGGAACUUGCCUACAAGUGGAGUGUUGAGGACAUGUAGCUUUUCUGAGGCUGUACUAGUGGCUGUGGGUUGGGGUGGUGGCAUGAGACAGCCAGGUAUCCAGCUGUAUCAUUUGCCUUUGAUAAUAAUAAUCAGGGCCAUCACAGACCAGCAACUUGUUGAAUGCCAAUGUUGACCAUAGAGGGAUACUUGAGACCUGAUCGAUGGACAGAGGCACCUGAAUUUAUGAGCAUUUGUUCUGGAGGAAGCCAGCCUCUGCCCUGAGGAUAACAAACGGCCCUGGAGAGGCCCACAGCCAACGCCUAGUAGCCAACGUGAGUGAGCCACCUUAGAAGGAUCCUUUAGCUCUGUUCAGUCCUUAAGAAGUCUGCAGCCCACAUCAACACCUUGACCACAACCUGCUGAGAGAUCCUAGCCAGAAACACCCAGUUCCAACUUGACUCAAAAAAACUGAGAAUGGAUCCUCUCCCUUCUGGCCAUCUCAGGGAAGACAGAAGCCACAAGGGUCAGCAGGCAUGGAAGAAGAGAGAGGAUAGGGAAAUUUAGGGAAAGGAGGAGUAUGGGUGUCCAGAUCUCCAAAAGGGUCUACGGCAGCAGGUGAACAUGUCCCUAAGGCUGCUGGGUCCAUCAGCACGUGGUCAACCUUAUCCCCUCCACAUGGCCAAGCCUCGGUCAUUAUCUGCUUCCCCCCCACUUCGGACAUCUCACAAGCCAUUUUUUGAGGUCUAAUUGCCUGCCAGAGCACACAGCGUGGGGGCUCCGGCAGCCAUGGCGCCCGGGGUCAGCAGGCCUCUCAGAGCUGGGUCCCACUGUUUGGGUGCCGAGUGCACAGCCAGUCUUUGUGCUGCAUCAGCUGGAGACAGCGAGCGCGCGCUUUCCUGCGCCUUUGCGCGUGACACCUGCGAGGCCCAGCGCUCACAGCCCAGCCCCCCAGGUUCAGCUCCCACAGGGAACUUCAGGCUUGGGAAUAUGGGAGGUGUAGAGGAAUGGCGUGUUGAUGAGGCUGGAGCUGCGAGGAGGGAGGUUGAUCUGGGGAUUGGAGAAGGCGGGGAAGGCAUGAGAAGCCCAGGGCUCAGAACGGUCGCCUCCCCGCCCCGCCGGCUCCCUCCGCUGCCUCCCAGUCCGCAAGGGAAGAGGAAAUCUCGCCAGAGAGCCAUGUAAAAAUAGAUGUAUUUCUGGAUAAGCACCGAGCCUGAAAAAACGGCUGAGCCGGAGUCUGCUCCGCUGACAGAAGAUCUAUGUACCAAAUUCCUCUUCAAAAUCUAUUUCUCCAGAGGUUUAUUCUUGCAGGGCUCUCCCAAGCUGGAGGAAGUUCGCAGCACCAGGCCACUGGGAGGCCUCGCCUCCCGCUGGCGACCUGGCUGCCCCAACUCUUUCCCCAGUGACCAUUUCCCAGCUUGAGCUGUGGUUCAAUUAGGUAGCAGCUGAUGGGAGCAGGCUGGAGCAGAAAAGUCAGGGCUGAAAUGUAAAAGGGAUUUGAAUGGCAAAAAGGUCAUUCUCAUGCAUUACCCUGGCUGGGUCGCAAGCCAGCAUGACGCAAGAUGACACCCAGCCUGGCAGCUAGAGAAUAAGUGAUGGCUAUAUUUAUGUUUCCAUCUAAAUGCAUGGAUCAAAGCAGACACUUUAAUCUAUUCAACAACAGCCUGAGGAUUAAAAAGUUGCAGGCAAAUCACACUCUUAAAUUGGAAAUAUAUUUUUGCUUGUCACUUGACAAAUCAUUUUAGAGAAUGACUCCAGGCCGGGUGAGACACCUGAAGAUUUUGAACCUGGCUCACUAAUCUGGAUGGAGCCCCUGCCUCUAGGCCUAGGGUGUGGUUCAAGCCCCUCACUUGCUCUAGUUCCUGUUAAUCCAGUUUCAAGGGAUACCUCGAGGGGGCCUAAAGUCACACAGACAAAUACGUCUCAAUUUCCACAUCAGCCUAGGAGUUGAGCACCAUAAUCACUGUUUCACAGGCCAGAAGACCUAGGUAGGUGGCUUGCCUAGGUCACAAGAUAAGUGGCAGAGUGGGAUGCAAGGCCAAAUGUUUGGGCUCUGAGUACAGUGCUCCUGUCCUCUGUUGGAGCUGCCCUCUUGCACCCAUACAGGGCAGUGAAGAGGAAUAAAACCUACACUGCCACUGGCUGUCUAACCCUUAGCAAGUUACUGAUGCUGGAGCGGGAACUUCUGACCUGGUGACUGUAGAAAUAAAAUCCUGACAAGGAGUGAGUACAAAACUGUAACUGG